GUGGAAGGACUAUGUCCGCUAUUGUAAUACGGCAUCGUGAUCAGAUAAUCGUUCACCUUUUAUCUGUAACAAACAACAGACAUCUUAACUUGAAUAAAUUUUUUACGAUUUCAAUUCUAUUAUAAUUUUAUAAGUUUGACAAAAAUAUUUUGCGCGUUAAAAAAUCAUAAAUCUGUUUUUAAUGCAAUUUUUUAUUAGUUAAUUCACUAAGAAACAAAGACGACAAUCAUAGAGGUUCGUUAAGUGUAGAGGUUUAAUAACUUAAUGAUGAAGACGGGCGAUACUCGCACGUCGCGUAUCGUAUCCGGCUACCGGGUCAUGAGGACCAUACUUGGCGGCACGAAAGCCUGCUUGUAACCAAAGUGAAAUUCCAAUGAGCCUAAUUCGCUCGCCAGACAUGUCGAGAAUUCCUUUUGCGUUCCUUCCAUUUAUCGAACCUUAACGUCCGAAGAAAUGCGCUUCACGGAUCGUGUGGCGCCAAAAGACAUACACAAAAACGAAAAUAUCGAUAUAUACUUAUUGAAAAAUUAAGAAGAUGAUAAUAAGGUAAAGUAAAAAAAUUUUAAAAAAUCUUUUCAUUACUUUUUCGUAUAUAUAUAAUUUUCUCCUUGUCUUUUUAUAUUCGAAUUAUGUAAAAUUAUGUAUGAUUUCUAAUUAUAUACAAUAAAAUUUAUAUGAAUGAAUUUCAUAAUCAAGAUUCUACUA